GUUUAAGUUGAUUCGAACAAAAUUCUAACCUAAAAUUUUUUUCAGUUCCCGAAUUCCACGUAACAAGUCUGAACUUUCAAUCGAUAUACAUAAAAUUAAAUUCUCUCAGGGAUUAAUUCAACAAUUCAACCGAUUUUAAUAUUUCCAAACAAGACGUAUCAAGACAUCACUAUUACCAAUCUCAUCUCCACCUAACAUCCUGCCAAUCUAAUCGGUCGUUGGUUUACGUUGUUUCGCAGCCAGUGUAAUUACGGUUGCACCACGGUGGAUAUGGCGGCCACCACGCCUCCGGUGAAAGGAUGAUCGAAACGAAACGGAUCGACUCGAAGGAGAAAAAGAGAGAGAAAUAAUCAGAGAGGCGAUACGUGGCCACCGGUGAUUUCAGUCGGCCGGUAGGUCGAUCCAGCCCCAGGAUAACCUGCCGAUGAACCGUAAACCAGGAACUUAUUACCAAGCCGUGUAGCUCGCGCUCCAACUUCGCGGAUGCUUUAUUAUUACGACUACCAGCGACGUGUGUGCAAUCGUGGCGGAUGUUGCACGUGUUUCUAGCAUCCGAACGACACGCCACGUAUGGAUAGAGAGAAAGAGAAAGAUGGAAGAGCUUAUUUGCACCGAGAAUGAACUGACUCGUGGCUGCUGCCUCCUAGGGUUUCUAAUUGGGAACCGAAGCCGGGGAUACAGGGAGAAGAUUUGAGAUUGGUUUACCAAUCCGAACAGGUAAAAGUUAAUGCUUCGUUAUAGCGCUGUUGGAGAUGAGAUAUCGAGGUAUCUUUUGCUACUCGAGUAAUCGGACAGAGUUCUUACUCUAUAUCUGAGUAUUUCGAAAUUUUGACUCGUCGACUUCUACUCAUAAUCGUAUCUCCAGGUAAUAAAAGUUUUCCUAUUAUUCGUAUAUUCGCAUUUAAAUUGAAUAAUAAAAGUUUCAUAAUAUCCACAGAGAUCGAAAAAACGUUCCAGUGAAAAAUCGAAGAUAUUUGGAAGAAAAAGAGAAUAGGCUUCUUACUGUACAGAUGUAAUAAUUUUAAAAAUUCGUAUCUUCGAGUAAUGAAAGUUUAUUUGUACAUUCUAAAUCAAAAUGACUGAAAGUUCGAAUAACACACGCAUAAUAUUCAAAUAGUAUUCCAUUCGAAAAAUCGAACUUUUCAUUACUAAAAUCAUAAUGGCGAUCACGUUGACGUAUUCUUCUUGCGGCAAAAGCUUCUUACCAAGACCUUAUUAUUAUCCAUAUCGGUGGAAUCGUUGGUUUUUGCCAGUUGAAUUACCAACCAAUGCAACAGCCAGGGAAUUACACCGGUGCAUUAGCUGCAACCGAGUUUAUUGCUCUCGGUUAACGACCUGAGUCGAGCCAUGAGUAAUAAUUACGUUCCUACAUUUCUUUCCGCGAUUCUAUACUGUCCCAUUGUUGGCUGCUGGGGCCAAUUUUCCUCUACACGCUCCACAACAACAACUUCUGGGUCGAAAUCUACUCUCCAAUCCGUCGAUUUAAUUAUACGAUAAAUUCAAUUCAGACGCGACUCGUAUUGACUGGCAAUUCAUAUUGACUUCUAUGAGAAAUGAGAUGUAUAGUGAAAACAGCAUCAGGAAAUGGCUGGAAGAUUGUGCUUAUAGUCGAUAAUUAUAUACCGAGCACAAUAGCAAUCGUGUAAAACGAAGCGGAAUCUUAAUAUUGAUGUUGCAUAAUGUUGCGAAAUAAUUUCAAGUUUCUUAGAGUAUUCGCUUUACGAUUCGUUUUUCUGAUUGGAAUACUUAAUUAUCAUGCAA